AGAGUUUGAUCAUGGCUCAGAUUGAACGCUGGCGGCAGGCCUAACACAUGCAAGUCGAACGGUAACAGGAAACAGCUUGCUGUUUCGCUGACGAGUGGCGGACGGGUGAGUAAUGUCUGGGAAACUGCCUGAUGGAGGGGGAUAACUACUGGAAACGGUAGCUAAUACCGCAUAACGUCGCAAGACCAAAGAGGGGGACCUUCGGGCCUCUUGCCAUCAGAUGUGCCCAGAUGGGAUUAGCUAGUAGGUGGGGUAACGGCUCACCUAGGCGACGAUCCCUAGCUGGUCUGAGAGGAUGACCAGCCACACUGGAACUGAGACACGGUCCAGACUCCUACGGGAGGCAGCAGUGGGGAAUAUUGCACAAUGGGCGCAAGCCUGAUGCAGCCAUGCCGCGUGUAUGAAGAAGGCCUUCGGGUUGUAAAGUACUUUCAGCGGGGAGGAAGGGAGUAAAGUUAAUACCUUUGCUCAUUGACGUUACCCGCAGAAGAAGCACCGGCUAACUCCGUGCCAGCAGCCGCGGAAAUACGGAGGGUGCAAGCGUUAAUCGGAAUUACUGGGCGUAAAGCGCACGCAGGCGGUUUGUUAAGUCAGAUGUGAAAUCCCCGGGCUCAACCUGGGAACUGCAUCUGAUACUGGCAAGCUUGGGUCUCGUAGAGGGGGGUAGAAUUCCAGGUGUAGCGGUGAAAUGCGUAGAGAUCUGGAGGAAUACCGGUGGCGAAGGCGGCCCCCUGGACGAAGACUGACGCUCAGGUGCGAAAGCGUGGGGAGCAAACAGGAUUAGAUACCCUGGUAGUCCACGCCGUAAACGAUGUCGACUUGGAGGUUGUGCCCUUGAGGCGUGGCUUCCGGAGCUAACGCGUUAAGUCGACCGCCUGGGGAGUACGGCCGCAAGGUUAAAACUCAAAUGAAUUGACGGGGGCCCGCACAAGCGGUGGAGCAUGUGGUUUAAUUCGAUGCAACGCGAAGAACCUUACCUGGUCUUGACAUCCACGGAAGUUUUCAGAGAUGAGAAUGUGCCUUCGGGAACCGUGAGACAGGUGCUGCAUGGCUGUCGUCAGCUCGUGUUGUGAAAUGUUGGGUUAAGUCCCGCAACGAGCGCAACCCUUAUCCUUUGUUGCCAGCGGUCCGGCCGGGAACUCAAAGGAGACUGCCAGUGAUAAACUGGAGGAAGGUGGGGAUGACGUCAAGUCAUCAUGGCCCUUACGACCAGGGCUACACACGUGCUACAAUGGCGCAUACAAAGAGAAGCGACCUCGCGAGAGCAAGCGGACCUCAUAAAGUGCGUCGUAGUCCGGAUUGGAGUCUGCAACUCGACUCCAUGAAGUCGGAAUCGCUAGUAAUCGUGGAUCAGAAUGCCACGGUGAAUACGUUCCCGGGCCUUGUACACACCGCCCGUCACACCAUGGGAGUGGGUUGCAAAAGAAGUAGGUAGCUUAACCUUCGGGAGGGCGCUUACCACUUUGUGAUUCAUGACUGGGGUGAAGUCGAAACAAGGUAACCGUAGGGGAACCUGCGGUUG
rnacentral:rRNA from 1 species